GAUGAACGCUGGCGGCGUGCCUAAUACAUGCAAGUCGAGCGAACGGACGAGAAGCUUGCUUCUCUGAUGUUAGCGGCGGACGGGUGAGUAACACGUGGAUAACCUACCUAUAAGACUGGGAUAACUUCGGGAAACCGGAGCUAAUACCGGAUAAUAUUUUGAACCGCAUGGUUCAAAAGUGAAAGACGGUCUUGCUGUCACUUAUAGAUGGAUCCGCGCUGCAUUAGCUAGUUGGUAAGGUAACGGCUUACCAAGGCAACGACGCAUAGCCGACCUGAGAGGGUGAUCGGCCACACUGGAACUGAGACACGGUCCAGACUCCUACGGGAGGCAGCAGUAGGGAAUCUUCCGCAAUGGGCGAAAGCCUGACGGAGCAACGCCGCGUGAGUGAUGAAGGUCUUUGGAUCGUAAAACUCUGUUAUUAGGGAAGAACAUAUGUGUAAGUAACUGUGCACAUCUUGACGGUACCUAAUCAGAAAGCCACGGCUAACUACGUG
rnacentral:rRNA from 1 species